rnacentral:lncRNA from 1 species
AUAAUUCUGAUUGAUUUUCUUAUAGCUUAUAACUUGUGUGAUGCUUAUCCUUUAUGCUUUUCAACUGUCACAUACUUGCAUUCCCUACAUACGGAUUCUAGGCUUCCUUUAUGGUACUUUGUUAUGUGUUGGACUCGAGAAAUAAACACAUUGAAUUCUGAACUAAGAUAGAAAUAAUUUGGUUUUAGGGCUAGACUUGAAUAUAGACAGUGUUUCAUCCUAACAAGGAGUUUCCUCCUUCAAAACACUAGGAACAACAAUCUGAUACCUUAAUUUCUUUUACAAGUCUUUGACUAAAUAUGCCACAAACUGUUGCAUCAUAACCUAUAACUGCCUAAUCCAAAAUUAAUAUAAAUUAUCAAAGUAACUUCCUAAUACAAAUUAUAACUGCCUAAAUCAGAUUUUGUCCUAUCAAUGCCCCUGGCACACCAACUGCCUUGUCCUCAAGGCUAGAAUAAGGAAACUAUCCCUUGCAGAUCAGCAUUUGAAUUUUGAAUUUGGUUUCAUCUAUUUCAACCCCUUUGAAUUCUCCUUCUCCCCUAUCAUGUCUCCCCCCAAAAUAAGCACUCUUAAUUUCCUUUUAGGACACCUUUGAAGUAGCCCAAAUGGUUGGUCAAUGACCACUUCCCUCAAUGCCCCUGGCACACAAACUGCCUUGUCCUCAAGGCUAGAAUAAGGAAACUAUCCCUUGCAAAUCAGCAUUUGAAUUUUGAAUUUGGUUUCAUCUAUUCAACCCCUUUGAAUUCUCCUUCUCCCCUAUCAUGUCUCCCCCCAAAAUAAGCACUCUUAAUUUCCUUUUAGGACACCUUUGAAGUAGCCCAAAUGGUUGGUCAAUGACCACUUCCCUCCUUUGAACAUACUCUUGAUAAGGUAAAAGCCUACUGCCAUGAUUUCUAAACAACAUUUUUUGUGAAUUAUUAGCAACAGAGCUUGUACCUGUUCCCACUGGAUUUCUCCCUACUUUCACACUUAGUGAAGAAAUAGAAUAUUGUUGUUACUUGAAUUCAAUUAGUGAUACCUAAAAACAAUGAGCGUCAGAUUAAUUGUUGGAGUCAAUAUUACUUGGAUUUCUCCCGACUUUCACACUUAGUGAAGAAAUAGAAUAUUGUUGUUACUUGAAUUCAGUUAGUGAUACCUAAAAACUGUGAGCGGUAAGAUUAAUUGUUGGAGUCAAGAAAUAAACACACUGAAUUUUGAAUAAAAAUAGAAAUAAUUUGGUUUUCAGGUCAGGUUUGAGGACAGACACAUGGUUUCCCCCUAAUAAAGAGUUUCCAACUUCAAAACCCAAAGUCUUAAUUCCCUUUACGUGUCUGUAACACUGACACAACUUAUAUAUUAGCUAUCACAUCAUAGCCUUCAAUUUCCUAAUACAAAAUAAAUAAUAUAUAAAUAACUGCCUAAUGUUGUGUUUGGUUGAGAGGAUGGAAAUAGAAGAGAGAUAUUUAAAUUAAGGCUAAAUUGUGAUUUUGGUCCCCUUAGUUUCUCAAAUCCAUGAUUUUGGUCUCCCUGAAUUUUAAUUGUAACAUUUGGUCCCCCUAGUCUUAUAAAUUGAUGAUUUUGGUCCUCCUGAUAGAUUAUUAACAAAUAAUUAUGAUUAAUUAAGUUAUUAAGUUAAUUAUAAAUUAAUCAAAACAAUUAAUUAUUAAAAAAAUUGAAUAAAAAAUUAUUAAUCCUAAUUUUUCACAACACUGUGCUCCUCCUCUUCCCUGCAAAAACCUCUUUUACCUCCACUGUUGCAUAUGAUUUCACCAGCAGUAACACCACAAGGGUUAGUCUUGUAUUAAAAAAUUUAAUGAUUAAUAAUUUUUAUUUAAUUUAUAAUUAAUUUAAUAUCUCUAAUAAUCACAAUUAUUAGUUAAUAAUCUAUCAGGAGGACCAAAAUCACAAAUUUAUAAAACUAGGGAUCAAAUGUUACAAUUAAAAAUCAUAGGGAUCAAAAUCAUGGAUUUGGAAAACUAGGGGAUCAAAAUUGCAAUUCAGCCUUAUUAAAGUAGAAUGUAAGAGGUGUGAGACCCACACAAUUUUUUCUCUAUUUCUUUCCCCCUCCCCUCAACCAAACACGACAUAAAUGAGAUUUUGGCCUAUUAACUUCCUAGUACCAAAUUAUUGGAGUGUAUAGACACUACAACAAAACCUUAUCCCACUAGGUGAGAUUAACUACAUGGAUUGCACGAUGCCAUUUGACUAAAUAGACACUAGUUAUCUGAAAAUAAGGAAGUCAAGGUUAACAUAACAUUGAUUGUAGAAAUAUUGAUAGGUUCAGGGAAAUUAUUUCCCAUUAUCUUCAGAUAGAGAAUACAUUUCAGUAUCUCAGACCAGUGAAUGAAUAGACAGUUGUGAAUUUUGCAGGAAGAAAUGGAUGUUAUUCUUCUGCUAUCCCAUGUUUGCAUACCCACUUUUUCUUCAAUUAAUACUUUUAUGGUUACUGAGACCUACGUAAUUUGACAUUGACAUAAUCGCAUGGUGCUUCGUUGUUUUGUAUUUGUAGUUUGCUGUCUGGAUACCUUACUGUCAUCAGUCAUCUCUAUAUGUGGUUAAACCUCAAUUGGUCCUAAUUCUUUUAAGUUUAGGAAAGUAUGAAACCCUGC